UCCGAGUUGACCUCGGCAGUCUCCCAUGAGUCCCCGCCAUUACGCGCUGGCAACAUGGAACGAGGGUUGCGCUCGUUGCGGGACUUAACCCAACAUCUCACGACACGAGCUGACGACAACCAUGCACCACCUGUGAACCGGCCCCAAAGGGGAAACCACAUUUCUGCGGCGGUCCGGUCCAUGUCAAGCCUUGGUAAGGUUCUUCGCGUUGCGUCGAAUUAAACCACAUGCUCCACCGCUUGUGCGGGCCCCCGUCAAUUCCUUUGAGUUUUAAUCUUGCGACCGUACUUCCCAGGCGGCACAUUUAACGCGUUGGCUACGCCACAAGAGGGGUCGAUUCCUCUUACAGCAAAUGUGCACCGUUUACAGCUAGGACUAC
rnacentral:misc_RNA from 1 species